GGGCCGCCUCUCCCUCCCCAAGACAAUAAACCCAACGAGAACUUUUAAUCUGGGAACUCACACGCCUCGGCACCUCCCCGCCGCUCCCCGCGCAUCCCGGGCGCCGCCGAGCCCCGCUCCCCAGUCGCCGGUUCGCCUCCCCCUGCUCCUCGCCGACCCCUUUUCCGCGCCGCCGGGGAUCCCCGGUCAGUCCGCGGCUCCCCCGUGCCAAAUAAUGCGCUUCUCACACAUGGAGUCGCGGCGUCACUCGGCGGAGCAUGCGCGGGGCGGUCCCGGCACAGGGCGGCCCGUCCUGCGCUGCGGGCACGGCAGCGGCGGCGGCAGCAGCAGCGGCCGCACCGCGCGGCGCAGGGACCCAGCGCCGCUUCCGGGCAAUGGUGGAGCAGCACAACCCUACUACUCGGAGACACUUGGGGCUUCUCUCUCCUGCUCUCACAGGAGCGCUGCUGAAACUGUGGCUGUGGCCCACUGAAUCCAUCUCCACUAUUCAAUUCCCUACCUGCCUUUGGGACACCGACCCAGCUUCUCUGGAGACGCAGUGGACUCCCUAAAUGCAAUGAAAAUACCAGGGUGGGAAGUGCCAGAUCUCCCUUUGGCCCAAAGAGCUGAACUCCUAUCGAGAUAAGAGACAUUCAGUUAUACCUGCCUUUUCUUUUGUGCUGCAAUGAGGUUAACGUCCAGUGGCUCUGCCUCUUACAGGGACUUCUUCAAGCUGGGAACUGAGUAAACGUCGGAUGAAAGCUAAUUCCCGUUUGUCAAGUAGCUUUCCAAUGCAAAGCUAGUGUGUUUGUGUCCUUUCUGAACCACAGUUUGGUUUAAUAAGCCCCCAACUGGUUGCUUACAGACCAGUUUCUUCCUGCAAGACCCUCUGAAACCGCUCAUGGCAACGGGGAAUGAGGAUGUUUAAAGUGAAGCCAAGUGGGAGACAUGAACCAGCGGGCAGCAUCUUGCCUGCCUCAGGUAGGCAGCAGGCUGGAGGGCCACGGGCACACAGAGGCACUGUCAGCUUGAUGUGUGCGGAGCCAUCAGCUGCUUUACUCCCUGGAAGAUGUAGUCACUGCCGAAACAAGACUGGGUUCAUGUAAGAUGCAUCACGAAACUCUUGAGAAAGCCUGAGAAAAAGAAGUCAUCUGGACCAUGGAGAAGCUUAGUCUGCAGCUUAAAAGAUACACUUAAAAAUGUCCUUAAUACACUUAAAUGCCUCUUAAAAAUACACUUUUUUUCCCCCCUUAAAACUUUGUGUUUGGUGCACUCAGGAGAACGACUUCAGCAUUUCAACACAAAGUGCAUUCAGCUCAGUUCAGAUCACUGUUGGUACCACCGAUGUCGAGUUGUUCGGGAGUUAUAUUUAAGGGUCCUUCUCAACUGAGAGCAAGAAGAGGAGCUUUUUCUUCCCCUCUACUUUGUUCUCGUUUGGAAUCUGCUUCUAAACGCUGCGACGAGUCAGAAUUUGCCACAAUUUGCCACGUUCAUUACUUCCAAGUACUUAAACUGACACUGUUCUUUUACCUACAGCCCCUGCCACAGCACACACAGCCUGUGAGCAUCCUCCCUGAGACGCUAGCGUUUCACCACACUUGUCACAAAGACGGGAGGGGGAAAGUAGA
ensembl:lncRNA